UACGAAGGGGGCUAGCGUUGUUCGGAAUUACUGGGCGUAAAGCGCACGUAGGCGGACUAUUAAGACAGGGGUGAAAUCCCGGGGCUCAACCCCGGAACUGCCUUUGAUACUGCUAGUCUCGAGUCCGGAAGAGGUGAGUGGAAUUCCGAGUGUAGAGGUGAAAUUCGUAGAUAUUCGGAGGAACACCAGUGGCGAAGGCGGCUCACUGGUCCGGUACUGACGCUGAGGUGCGAAAGCGUGGGGAGCAAACAGG
rnacentral:rRNA from 1 species